GGGAUAACUACUGGAAACGGUAGCUAAUACCGCAUAACGUCGCAAGACCAAAGAGGGGGACCUUCGGGCCUCUUGCCAUCGGAUGUGCCCAGAUGGGAUUAGCCUGUUGGUGGGGUAACGGCUCACCAAGGCGACGAUCCCUAGCUGGUCUGAGAGGAUGACCAGCCACACUGGAACUGAGACACGGUCCAGACUCCUACGGGAGGCAGCAGUGGGGAAUAUUGCACAAUGGGCGCAAGCCUGAUGCAGCCAUGCCGCGUGUAUGAAGAAGGCCUUCGGGUUGUAAAGUACUUUCAGCGGGGAGGAAGGGAGUAAAGUUAAUACCUUUACUCAUUGACGUUACCCGCAGAAGAAGCACCGGCUAACUCCGUGCCAGCAGCCGCGGUAAUACGGAGGGUGCAAGCGUUAAUCGGAAUUACUGGGCGUAAAGCGCACGCAGGCGGUUUGUUAAGUCAGAUGUGAAAUCCCCGGGCUCAACCUGGGAACUGCAUCUGAUACUGGCAAGCUUGAGUCUCGUAGAGGGGGGUAGAAUUCCAGGUGUAGCGGUGAAAUGCGUAGAGAUCUGGAGGAAUACCGGUGGCGAAGGCGGCCCCCUGGACGAAGACUGACGCUCAGGUGCGAAAGCGUGGGGAGCAAACAGGAUUAGAUACCCU
rnacentral:rRNA from 1 species